rnacentral:rRNA from 1 species
UGGUGGAGUGAUUUGUCUGGUUAAUUCCGUUAACGAACGAGACCUUGACCUGCUAACUAGUGUCACAAUGCUGCUGUUGUGUGACAGACUUCUUAGAGGAACUCUGUGUGCCCAGCAUGAGGAAGUUUGAGGCAAUAACA